UUAGCUCAGCUGGGAGAGCGUAGCGCUGGCAGCGCUAAGGUCAGGGGUUCGAUCCCCCUA
rnacentral:tRNA from 1 species